UCUGCCCGUGAUGGUGAUAAAUAUACUGAGUGCUUCACUAUGAAAAGAAUAUAAUCUGAGGCUU
rnacentral:snoRNA from 1 species